CUCAGGCAAACGUAAGCGGCUUGUCGCAGAAACCAAGGGGUCCACGAAACGCGCUAGGCUGGAAGGCGGGAAGGAGAAGUUACUGACAGCCGCGCCAGCCAAUAAAACGGAAAUGUGGGAAAGGUUCUUCAGGCCCCUUCCCAAUCAGGACACUUGGGUGGUGAGGGGAGCGAAGGCGUGGGAUGGGACCUUGGUCCAGCUGGGACUGGAGUGGCGACAAUUUUGGCUUGUCUGAGAAGGGCAUUUGAGUGACCGUUUACAACCGGUGGGACAGCGUCCGGUCUGGGGUUAGAAUCCAAACUGUAUUCUUCCAGGACUUCUAGCUAGUGGAAAAAACAGCUAGGAAAUAUUGGGAUUCCUGGUGCCUUUUAAGUAAGGAAAGAGAGCAAUCUGCUGAAUGAAGAACAGAAUAACGUUUAGUUUGGGAGGACAAGUUCAUCUGGACUAGGAGAAAAACAUUUGCCUCAAUUAAGAAGAUCUGCUGCGAAGACCUGGGAUAAAGGGAAAGCAGGGCCAAAAAUUCCAGAAAGGGAAUUUAGCCUAUAAGGCUAAAGGGAAGAAUGUGAAGGAAAGUAGAUCAUCUUGAUCAAUCACCUCGGUAGACUGGUUCUAACAGAAGACUGCUUCCUUCAGUGAAAAAUUCAGGUGUUGUUAAU